GUUGGGUUUCCUUUAGGAUUCGCUACCCUCUUGGAUGAAUGCUGCCUAGUUUUGUGGCUAAGAUCGCGCAUAAGAGGCGCGGGCUGCGCCUUGACUUUGUAUGGUGCGGUUGCCUUACAAACAAACGUUCUUCGCCCUUAAGUGCAAGAAAUGUCUUCCAGUCCUCACCACUCGGCCCCUGGUGUAAUUUGCCUUGCUGCGGAGGGGUCUGCCGCUUUGGGGCCCUUUCCAAAAGGCCUUUGGAAAUGAGAAUCUAGAAUCUGAUUCCAGAGCCCAAAUUAGAUAGGCGCAGCGGAGAGGGGAGGGGUGGUAAGGGGAGUGUCCAGGCUAGAAGUAGGUGAGAAACGAAGGGUGCGUUUCCUAGCGGCUUAUUGUGAAAGGAGGAAAAUGAAGCCCCAGAGUCAGGAAACUUGGGGCUGGCGGACUUGAAGUUUUGUACUUAGGAAAAGAAAGAGGCUCCAUUAAAGGGCUGAAGAUUGAACCUGAGCCUUGCCUGGUUACACAAGCUACACCCCUGGCUCUAGCUUUAAAGCUCUUCCCAUUCCUCCUUCCUGGGAAUUGAUCCAAGGGUUGUUCUCUCACUGAGCUACUAUUUUACAGCUCCACUUUUUUCCUUUAUUUUUGAGACGGUCUCACUGUGUUGUUCGGGCUGGUCUUAAAUUCACUUUUAGCUCAGCCUGGCCUCAAACUUGCCAUCCUUUUGCCUCGGCCUACUGAAUAGUUGGGAUUACAUAGAUCCACAACUCCAGAUCUAAUUGUGGGAAAACAUCAAUGGACUCCAAAUUGACAAUCAUUCUAAAAAGUAUGUAUCCAACCUCAUAAAACUCCCUGUGAAGAUGUAAAAUGUGAUUGGAGAUUGCAAAUACAUUUUUAUGCUUUACUACCAGAAGUGAAGCUCCAAGAAAGCUGAGGUCCAUAGACAGCUUGGGACACCAUACGCAAUGCUCACCUCGCUAUGCAGAUAAAGACACUGAAACAUCCAGAGAUCACACAAGCUUUCAGUUACCAAGCGGGACAAGGGCCCUGGCUCAGUGACUCCUAGCAUUGUGCCUUUUAUUUCUCAAAGCAUAAUCUUUAGUAGAUUAAAAUAAAAAAUGUAUCCAGUACCCUUCAAACUAUCAAGGCAGGUGUGGUGGCACACACUCGUAAUUCUAACUACUUCAAGACCUCUCAAAAAUGUAAAAAGGGGGUGGGUGUGUGUGGAGAAGUAACUCAGUGGUAGAGUGCUUGCCUAACAUGCACAAGGCGCUGGGCUCUGUCCUCCCUAACACACACAUAUACACAUACACAUAGAUACUCAUAUACACACAUACACACACAUGGUCCCUAGACAAAUACUGGCUCUGAAGGAGAGGAGGCACUCUGGAAACAACUACUGGGGAGAAAGCUA
rnacentral:lncRNA from 1 species